AAGUAGCAGUUCCUCCUUUAGGUCAGAGAUUGCAGCAUCUGAGGGCCUCUUCAAAAGAAGAUGUAGUUGAUGAAGGCGUUCUGGAGCAGGACCAGAAAGACCACGACCAAGCAGCCUUGAGAUCUUAGGCAGCGUCUCCCUCAGGUCCCUCUCUAUCUCCCUACACAUCCACCAAGCACUGGAACACAUCUCCAAAGUUCUGCUGGGCCAGCUCAGCUUCCCCUCAGAAGAAGUGCCGCCACCUGCCAGAUGAAGGAGCCUUUUGAGAGGCAGCUGGCAUCGUGAUUGGACUGUACUUUGGUCUGUUCCAAUCCAGCUUCAGCUCCAGAGACGGCAGGCGGGACGAGUCAACGGAGGCCGAGUGGACGAAGGCAUGCAGCUGAGUACAAUCCAGAAAACAACAGAGGAGGAGUGCAUCAGCCCAGGGCCAGAACAAACAGAGUAGCAUUGUAUGUCUCUUAGAAAACAUCAUAGUAUAGCCUUUGGUAUGAAAAAACGCCAUCAUAUACAUCGUAUAUUGUACAAAUAAGUCAAAGGAAAGAGACAUACAUUGUAGAAUUGUAGUAAUUGUGGGCUGACUGAUUUACUGAUUAUCAGUAUUUUAUUUUUUACUGAUUUACGGUAAUAAAUACAUUUAAAAAUGGC